rnacentral:lncRNA from 1 species
UAGAUAAUAAUGAUAGCACUAAUGUUUGUCAAGCAUUAUCUAUAGACCAGGUACUGUUUUAUUAACUUUACAAGUAUUAAUUCACUUAAUUCUUAUAAAAGUACUCUGAAACACAUUCUAUUACAAUCUUUCUUUUGCAGAUGAGGAAACUAAGGCACAGAGAGUUUAAGUAACUCGCUCAGAGUUUGACAGCUACCAAGCAGCAGAGUUGAGACUUGAACCCAGGCCCUGCAGUCUCACUGCAAAACCCAUCUCUUCUCUGUCACUAUCUUCACCUAUCUCUUUGCCUCUCUAGGAACCAACACUGUGACUCCCAAAACAUUGCUUAAUCUGGGAUAUCAUUAGACUCAAAAAUUUCAAAAACACUUUGGAGAAUUAUAUCAGGGCAGGAGCCUCUUUGCUGUCCUCUCCCCUGCUCCAUCUCUCCCUGUGACCUGCCAAGGUUGUCCAUCAAUGUGGUCCUUCCAGGUGAGCCCUGGGCAGAGACAGGUGGCAAGGGCAGAAGGCAGAUCUGGCGGGAGAAAGAACGUAGCCAGCACCAAGGCCAGCCCGAGCUGUGUUUGAGCAGCUGGGAGCAUGCAGGUCCUUUUCUUGAGGUGGACACACUGGAGAAGGGAAAGGUAGCUGGGGAAGAGAAUCCUUUCCCCAGAGACUGGCACUUGGAGACCACUGACUGAAUCCCUCAGGGCUUCUGUUUUUUUGUUUGUUUUUUCGUCUGUAAAAUCAG